GUGAUUUUCAGGUAAAAUGGGGGAUUUUCAAUAAGAAAACGCGUGAUUUUCGCUUAAAUGGGGGAUUUGCGAAGAGAAAACGCGUGAUUUUAGAGUAAAAUGGGGGAUUCUCGAAGAGAAAACGCGUGAUUUUUGGGUUAAAUGGGGGAUUUGCGAAGAGAAAACACGUGAUUUUUGAGUUAAAUGGGGGAUUUACGAAGAGAAAUUGCGUCAUUUUCGGUUAAAGGGGGGAUUCUGGAAGAGAAAAAGCGUGAUUUUCAAGAUAAAUGGGGAAUUUACGAAGAGAAAACACGUGAUUUUCGGGAUAAAUGGGGGAAUCCCGAAGAGAAAACGCGUGAUUUUUGCAUAAAUGGGGGAUUCCUGAAGAGAAAAGGCGUGAUUUUCAGGUUAAAAGGAAGAUUUCCAAAGAGAAAAUGCAUGAAUUUCGGGUUAAAUGGAGGAUUCUCGAAGAGAAAAUGUGUGAUUUUCGCUUAAAUGGGGGAUUCUCGAAGAGAAAAUGCGUGAUUUUUGCUUAAAUGGGGACUCUCGAAGAGAAAAUGUGUGAUUUUCGCUUAAAUGGAGGAUUCUCGAAGAGAAAAUGCGUGAUUUUUGCUUAAAUGGGGACUCUCGAAGAGAAAACACAUGAUUUUCACUUAAAUGGAGGAUUCUCGAAUAGAAAAUGCGUGAUUUUUCGGGUUAAAUGGGGGAUUUGCGAAGAGAAAACGCGUGAUUUUCGAUUAAAUGGGGGAUGUGCGAAGAGAAAACGCGUGAUUUUUGGGUUAAAUCGGGGAUUUGCGAAGAGAAAAUGCGUGAUUUUUGCUUAAAUGGGGGAUUUGCGAAGAGAAAACGUGUGUUUUUCGGGUUCAAUGGGGGAUUCUCGAAGAGAAAACGUGUGAUUUUCGGGUUAAAUGGGGGAUUCUCGAAGAGAAAACGCGUGAUUUUUGGCUUAAAUGGGGGAUUUGCGAAGAGAAAACGCAUGAUUUUCGCUUAAAUGGGGGAUUUGCGAAGAGAAAACGCGUGAUUUUCGGUUAAAUGGGGGAUUUGCGAAGAGAAAACGCGUGAUUUUUGCUUAAAUGGGGGAUUCUCGAAGAGAAAACGCGUGUUUUUCGGGUUCAAUGGGGGAUUCUCGAAGAGAAAACGCGUGAUUUUCGGGUUAAAUGGGGGAUUUGCGAAGAGAAAACGCGUGAUUUUCACUUAAAUGGGGGAUUCUCGAAGAGAAAACGCGUGAUUUUCGCUUAAAUGGGGGAUUUGCGAAGAGAAAACGCGUGAUUUUUGCUUAAAUGGGGGAUUUGUGAAGAGAAAACGCGUGAUUUUCGCUUAAAUGGGGGAUUUGCGAAGAGAAAACGCGUGAUUUUCGGGUUAAAUGGGGGAUUUGCGAAGAGAAAAUAUGUGAUUUUUGGGUUAAAUGGGGGAUUUGCGAAGAGAAAACGCGUGAUUUUCGCUUAAAUGGGGGAUUUGUGAAGAGAAAACGCGUGAUUUUCGGGUUAAAUGGGGGAUUUGCGAAGAGAAAACGCGUGAUUUUCGGGUUAACUGGGGGAUUUGCGAAGAGAAAACGCGUGAUUUUCGGUUAAAUGGGGGAUUUGCGAAGAGAAAACGCGUGAUUUUUGCUUAAAUGGGGGAUUUGCGAAGAGAAAACGUGUGUUUUUCGGGUUCAAUGGGGGAUUCUCGAAGAGAAAACGCGUGAUUUUCGGGUUAAAUGGGGGAUUUGCGAAGAGAAAACGCGUGAUUUUCACUUAAAUGGGGGAUUCUCGAAGAGAAAACGCGUGAUUUUCGGGUAACAUGGGGGAUUUGCGAAGAGAAAACGCGUGAUUUUUGCUUAAAUGGGGGAUUUGCGACGAGAAAACGCGUGAUUUUCGGGUUAAAUGGGGGAUUUGCAAAGAGAAAACGCGUGAUUUUCGGGUUAAAUGGGGGAUUUGCGAAGAGAAAACGCGUGAUUUUCGGGUUAAAUGGGGGAUUUGCGAAGAGAAAACGCGUGAUGUUCGCUUAAAUGGGGGAUUUGCGAAGAGAAAACGCGUGAUUUUCGCUUAAAUGGGGGAUUUGCGAAGAGAAAACGCGUGAUUUUUCGCUUAAAUGGGGGAUUUGCGAAGAGAAAACGCGUGAUUUUCGGGUUAAAUGGGGGAUUUGCGAAGAGAAAACGCGUGAUUUUCGCUUAAAUGGGAGAUUUGCAAAGAGAAAACGCGUGAUUUUCGAUUAAAUGGGGGAUGUGCGAAGAGAAAACGCGUGAUUUUUGGGUUAAAUCGGGGAUUUGCGAAGAGAAAAUGCGUGAUUUUUGCUUAAAUGGGGGAUUUGCGAAGAGAAAACGCGUGAUUUUCGGGUUAAAUGGGGGAUUCUCGAAGAGAAAACGUGUGAUUUUCGGGUUAAAUGGGGGAUUCUCGAAGAGAAAACGCGUGAUUUUUGGGUUAAAUGGGGGAUUUGCGAAGCGAAUACGCGUGAUUUUCGCUUAAAUGGGGGAUUUGCGAAGAGAAAACGCGUGAUUUUCGCUUAAAUGGGGGAUUCUCAAAGAGAAAACGCGUGAUUUUCGGGUUAAAUGGGGGAUUUGCGACGAGAAAACGCGUGAUUUUUGCUUAAAUGGGGGAUUUGCAAAGAGAAAACGCGUGAUUUUCGGGUUAAAUGGGGGAUUCUCAAAGAGAAAACGCGUGAUUUUUGGUUAAAUGGGGGAUUCUCGAAGAGAAAACGCGUGAUUUUUGCAUAAAUGGGGGAUUUGCGAAGAGAAAACGCGUGGUUUUCGGGUUAAAUGGGGGAUUUGCGAAGAGAAAACGCGUGAUUUUCGCUUAAAUGGGGGAUUUGCGAAGAGAAAACGCGUGAUGUUCGCUUAAAUGGGGGAUUUGCGAAGAGAAAACGCGUGAUUUUCGCUAAAAUGGGGGAUUUGCGAAGAGAAUACGCGUGAUUUUUCGCUUAAAUGGGGGAUUUGCGAAGAGAAAACGUGUGAUUUUCGCUUAAAUGGGAGAUUUGCAAAGAGAAAAUGCGUGAUUUUCGGGUUAAAUGGAAAAUUCUCGAAGAGAAAACGCGUGAUUUUUGCUUAAAUGGGGGAUUUGCGAAGAGAAAACGCGUGAUUUUUGCUUAAAUGGGGGAUUUGCGAAGAGAAAAUGCGUGAUUUUUAAGUUAAAGUGGGGAUUCUAAAGAGGAAACGCGUGAUUUUCGGGUUAAAUGGGGGAUUUGCGAAGAGAAAACGCGUGAUUUUCGCUUAAAUGGGGGAUUCUCGAAGAGAAAACGCAUGAUUUUUGGGUUAAAUGGGGGAUUCUCGAAGAGAAAACGCGUGAUUUUCGGCUUAAAUGGGGGAUUUGCGAAGAGAAAACGCAUGAUUUUCGCUUAAAUGGGGGAUUUGCGAAGAGAAAACGCGUGAUUUUUGGUUAAAUGGGGGAUUUGCGAAGAGAAAACGCGUGAUUUUUGCUUAAAUGGGGGAUUUGCGAAGAGAAAACGUGUGUUUUUCGGGUUCAAUGGGGGAUUCUCGAAGAGAAAACGCGUGAUUUUCGGGUUAAAUGGGGGAUUUGCGAAGAGAAAACGCGUGAUUUUCACUUAAAUGGGGGAUUCUCGAAGAGAAAACGCGUGAUUUUCGGGUAACAUGGGGGAUUUGCGAAGAGAAAACGCGUGAUUUUUGCUUAAAUGGGGGAUUUGCGACGAGAAAACGCGUGAUUUUUGCUUAAAUGGGGGAUUUGCGAAGAGAAAACGCGUGAUUUUCGGGUUAAAUGGGGGAUUUGCGAAGAGAAAACGCUUGAUUUUCGGGUUAAAUGGGGGAUUUGCGAAGAGAAAACGCGUGAUUUUCGGGUUAAAUGGGGGAUUUGCGAAGAGAAAACGCGUGAUGUUCGCUUAAAUGGGGGAUUUGCGAAGAGAAAACGCGUGAUUUUCGCUAAAAUGGGGGAUUUGCGAAGAGAAUACGCGUGAUUUUUCGCUUAAAUGGGGGAUUUGCGAAGAGAAAACGCGUGAUUUUCGCUUAAAUGGGGGAUUUGCGAAGAGAAAACGUGUGAUUUUCGCUUAAAUGGGAGAUUUGCAAAGAGAAAAUGCGUGAUUUUCCCUUAAAUGGAAAAUUCUCGAAGAGAAAACGCGUGAUUUUCGGGUUAAAUGGGGGAUUUGCGAAAAGAAAACGCGUGAUUUUUGCUUAAAUGGGGGAUUUGCGAAGAGAAAAUGCGUGAUUUUUAAGUUAAAGUGGGGAUUCUAAAGAGGAAACGCGUGAUUUUCGGGUUAAAUGGGGGAUUUGCGAAGAGAAAACGCGUGAUUUUCGCUUAAAUGGGGGAUUCUCGAAGAGAAAACGCAUGAUUUUUGGGUUAAAUGGGGGAUUCUCGAAGAGAAAACGCGUUAUUUUCGGCUUAAAUGGGGGAUUUGCGAAGAGAAAACGCAUGAUUUUCGCUUAAAUGGGGGAUUUGCGAAGAGAAAACGCGUGAUUUUCGCUUAAAUGGGGGAUUUGCGAAGAGAAAACGCGUGAUUUUCGCUUAAAUGGGGGAUUUGCGAAGAGAAAACGUGUGAUUUUCGGCUUAAAUGGGGGAUUCUCGAAGAGAAAACGCGUGAUUUUCGGGUUAAAUGGGGGAUUUGCGAAGAGAAAACGCGUGAUUUUCACUUAAAUGGGGGAUUCUCGAAGAGAAAACGCGUGAUUUUCGGGUAAAAUGGGGGAUUUGCGAAGAGAAAACGCGUGAUUUUUGCUUAAAUGGGGGAUUUGCGAAGAGAAAACGCGUGAUUUUGCUUAAAUGGGGGAUUUGCGAAGAGAAAACGCGUGAUUUUCGGGUUAAAUGGGGGAUUUGCGAAGAGAAAACGCGUGAUUUUCGGGUUAAAUGGGGGAUUUGCGAAGAGAAAACGCGUGAUGUUCGCUUAAAUGGGGGAUUUGCGAAGAGAAAACGCGUGAUUUUCGCUUAAAUGGUGGAUUUGCGAAGAGAAAACGCGUGAUUUUUCGCUUAAAUGGGGGAUUUGCGAAGAGAAAACGCGUGAUUUUCGGGUUAAAUGGGGGAUUUGCGAAGAGAAAACGCGUGAUUUUCGCUUAAAUGGGAGAUUUGCAAAGAGAAAAUGCGUGAUUUUCCCUUAAAUGGAAAAUUCUCGAAGAGAAAACGCGUGAUUUUUGCUUAAAUGGGGGAUUUGCGAAGAGAAAAUGCGUGAUUUUUAAGUUAAAGUGGGGAUUCUAAAGAGGAAACGCGUGAUUUUCGGGUUAAAUGGGGGAUUUGCGAAGAGAAAACGCGUGAUUUUCGCUUAAAUGGGGGAUUCUCGAAGAGAAAACGCAUGAUUUUUGGGUUAAAUGGGGGAUUCUCGAAGAGAAAACGCGUUAUUUUCGGCUUAAAUGGGGGAUUUGCGAAGAGAAAACGCAUGAUUUUCGCUUAAAUGGGGGAUUUGCGAAGAGAAAACGCGUGAUUUUCGCUUAAAUGGGGGAUUUGCGAAGAGAAAACGCGUGAUUUUUGCUUAAAUGGGGGAUUCUCGAAGAGAAAACGCGUGUUUUUCGGGUUCAAUGGGGGAUUCUCGAAGAGAAAACGCGUGAUUUUCGGGUUAAAUGGGGGAUUUGCGAAGAGAAAACGCGUGAUUUUCACUUAAAUGGGGGAUUCUCGAAGAGAAAACGCGUGAUUUUCGCUUAAAUGGGGGAUUUGCGAAGAGAAAACGCGUGAUUUUUGCUUAAAUGGGGGAUUUGUGAAGAGAAAACGCGUGAUUUUCGCUUAAAUGGGGGAUUUGCGAAGAGAAAACGCGUGAUUUUCGCUUAAAUGGGGGAUUUGCGAAGAGAAAACGCGUGAUUUUCGGUUAAAUGGGGGAUUUGCGAAGAGAAAACACGUGAUUUUUGCUUAAAUGGGGGAUUUGCGAAGAGAAAACGUGUGUUUUUCGGGUUCAAUGGGGGAUUCUCGAAGAGAAAACGCGUGAUUUUUGCUUAAAUGGGGGAUUUGCGAAGAGAAAACGCGUGAUUUUCACUUAAAUGGGGGAUUCUCGAAGAGAAAACGCGUGAUUUUCGGGUAACAUGGGGGAUUUGCGAAGAGAAAACGCGUGAUUUUUGCUUAAAUGGGGGAUUUGCGACGAGAAAACGCGUGAUUUUCGGGUUAAAUGGGGGAUUUGCAAAGAGAAAACGCUUGAUUUUCGGGUUAAAUGGGGGAUUUGCGAAGAGAAAACGCGUGAUUUUCGGGUUAAAUGGGGGAUUUGCGAAGAGAAAACGCGUGAUGUUCGCUUAAAUGGGGGAUUUGCGAAGAGAAAACGCGUGAUUUUCGCUUAAAUGGGGGAUUUGCGAAGAGAAAACGCGUGAUUUUUCGCUUAAAUGGGGGAUUUGCGAAGAGAAAACGCGUGAUUUUCGGGUUAAAUGGGGGAUUUGCGAAGAGAAAACGCGUGAUUUUCGCUUAAAUGGGAGAUUUGCAAAGAGAAAAUGCGUGAUUUUCCCUUAAAUGGAAAAUUCUCGAAGAGAAAACGCGUGAUUUUUGCUUAAAUGGGGGAUUUGCGAAGAGAAAAUGCGUGAUUUUUAAGUUAAAGUGGGGAUUCUAAAGAGGAAACGCGUGAUUUUCGGGUUAAAUGGGGGAUUUGCGAAGAGAAAACGCGUGAUUUUCGCUUAAAUGGGGGAUUCUCGAAGAGAAAACGCAUGAUUUUUGGGUUAAAUGGGGGAUUCUCGAAGAGAAAACGCGUUAUUUUCGGCUUAAAUGGGGGAUUUGCGAAGAGAAAACGCAUGAUUUUCGCUUAAAUGGGGGAUUUGCGAAGAGAAAACGCGUGAUUUUCGGUUAAAUGGGGGAUUUGCGAAGAGAAAACGCGUGAUUUUUGCUUAAAUGGGGGAUUUGCGAAGAGAAAACGUGUGUUUUUCGGGUUCAAUGGGGGAUUCUCGAAGAGAAAACGCGUGAUUUUCGGUUAAAUGGGGGAUUUGCGAAGAGAAAACGCGUGAUUUUCACUUAAAUGGGGGAUUCUCGAAGAGAAAACGCGUGAUUUUCGGGUUAAAUGGGGGAUUUGCGAAGAGAAAACGCGUGAUUUUUGCUUAAAUGGGGGAUUUGUGAAGAGAAAACGUGUGAUUUUCGCUUAAAUGGGGGAUUUGCGAAGAGAAAACGCGUGAUUUUCGGGUUAAAUGGGGGAUUUGCGAAGAGAAAACGCUUGAUUUUCAAGUUAAAUGGGGGAUUUACGAAGAGAAAACGCGUGAUUUUCGCUUAAAUGGGGGAUUCUCGAAGAGAAAACACGUGAUUUUUGCUUAAAUGGGGAAUUUGCAAAGAGAAAACGCGUGAUUUUCGGUUAAAUGGGGGAUUCUCGAAGAGAAAAUGCGUGAUUUUUGGCUUAAAUGGGGGAUUUGCGAAGAGAAAACGCGUGGUUUUCGGGUUAAAUGGGGGAUUUGUGAAGAGAAAACGCGUGAUUUUUGGGUUAAAUGGGGGAUUUGCGAAGAGAAAACGCGUGAUUUUCGCUUAAAUGGGGGAUUCUCGAAGAGAAAACGCGUGAUUUUCGGUUAAAUGGGGGAUUUGCGAAGAGAAAACGCGUGAUUUUCGGGUUAAAUGGGGGAUGUGCGAAGAGAAAACUGCGUGAUUUUCGCUUAAAUGGGGGAUUCUCGAAGAGAAAACGCGUGAUUUUCGCUUAAAUGGGAAGAUAUGCGAAGAGGAAAACGCGUGAUUUUCGCUUAAAUGGGGGAUUUGCAAAGAGAAAACGUGUGAUUUUCGGUUAAAUGGGGGAUUUGCGAAGAGAAAACGCGUGAUUUUCGCUUAAAUGGGGGAUUCUUGAAGAGAAAACGAGUGAUUUUCGGGUUAAAUGGAAGAUUUCUGAAGAGAAAACGCGUGAUUUUCGGGUUAAAUGGGGGAUUCUCGAAGAGAAAACACGUGAUUUUUAGUUAAAUGGGGUAUUAGCGAAGAGAAAACGCGUGAUUUUCGCUUAAAUGGGGGAUUUGCGAAGAGAAAACCGUGAUUUUCGAGUUAAAAGGUGGAUUUGCAAAUAGAAAACGCGUGAUUUUCGGGUUAAAUGGGGGAAUCUCGAAGAGAAAACGCGUGAUUUUCCGGUUAAAUGGGGGAUUUGCAAAGAGAAAACGCGUCAUUUUCGGGUUAAAUGGGGAUUUGCGCAGAGGAUAUGAGUGAUUUUCGGGUUAAAUGGAAGAUUCUCCAAGAGAAAACGCAUGAUUUUCGGGUUAAAUGGCGGAUUUGCGAGGAGGAUAUGCGUGAUUUUCGAGUUAAAUGGGGGAUUUGCGAAGAGAAAACACGUCAUUUUCGAGUUAAAUGGGGGAUUUGCGAAGAGAAAACGCGUCAUUUUCGAGUUAAAUGGGGGAUUUGCAAAGAGAAAAUGCGUCAUUUUCGAGUUAAAUGGGGGAUUUGCGAAGAGAAAACGCGUGAUUUUCGCUUAAAUGGGGGAUUCUUGAAGAGAAAACGAGUGAUUUUCGGGUUAAAUGGAAGAUUUCUGAAGAGAAAGCGUAUGAUAUUCGGGUUAAAUGAGGGAUUCUUGAAGAGAAAAUGAGUGAUUUUCGGGUUAAAUGGGGGAUUCUCGAAGAGAAAACGCGUGAUUUUCGCUUAAAUGGGGGAUUUGCGAAGAGAAAACGCGUGAUUUUCGCUUAAAUGGGGGAUUUGCGAAGAGAAAACGCGUGAUUUUCGCUUAAAUGGGGGAUUUGCGAAGAGAAAACGCGUGAUUUUCGGGUUAAAUGGGGGAUUUGCGAAGAGAAAACGCGUGAUUUUCGGCUUAAAUGGGGGAUUUGCGAAGAGAAAACGCGUGAUUUUCGCUUAAAUGGGGGAUUUGCGAAGAGAAAACGCGUGAUUUUCGGCUUAAAUGGGGGAUUUGCGAAGAGAAAACGCGUGAUUUUCGCUUAAAUGGGGGAUUUGCGAAGAGAAAACGCGUGAUUUUCGGUUAAAUGGGGGAUUUGCGAAGAGAAAAACGCGUGAUUUUCGCUUAAAUGGGGGAUUUGCGAAGAGAAAACGCGUGAUUUUCGGUUAAAUGGGGGAUUUGCGAAGAGAAAACGCGUGAUUUUCGCUUAAAUGGGGGAUUUGCGAAGAGAAAACGCAUGAUUUUUGGUUAAAUGGGGGAUUUCCGAAGAGAAAAUGCGUGAUUUUCGGGUUAAAUGGCGGAUUUGCGAGGAGGAUACUGAGUGAUUUUCGAGUUAAAUGGGGGAUUUGCGAAGAGAAAACGCGUCAUUUUCGAGUUAAAUGGGGGAUUUGCGAAGAGAAAACGCGUGAUUUUCGCUUCAAUGGGGGAUUCUUGAAGAGAAAACGAGUGAUUUUCGAG
ensembl:lncRNA